ACCAGUCCAAGGUCAGAGAAAGCUAUAACCUUGGGAGUUUAAUACAAGCCUGGAAUUGACCAGAAGAAUCUCCAAGAAGAUUAUUUGGACAUUGCUCUGUUUCAGCACCCUUCUGAGUUCAAUGUUGGAGUGAUGGUUAGUGUCUUGGCUCUGAGAAGACGACACACCAUCCUGUUGUCUGCCUGUCCUUUGCAGAAUGUUCUUUCCAUUCUUCUUAUUUUAUAGCCCUCAAUAGGGAUCAUUUGUCUUGGACAGAUGAAGAUACCUUUGUGGACAAGCUUGAUUUUAUUACAGGUUGAGCCAAUGAGCAUCCACGGGUGUGUCCCAUACACCUCACUAUUACAUUUGGCCAGCUGGAUGUUCAGAUAUCUUCCACAAUUGCUAUGCUGGAGAACUGGUAUCCACUGGAAACAUGUAGCCACCAACUUGUCCUUCAUACACAGGAAGUCCCUUCUGGCUUCAAGCAGGAAAGAAAACCGGACAUUUCAUUGCAGGUCACAGCCACUGUUUCAUCACUUGCCAACACAAUAUCAAGUAUAGAACUGUACCUAGAAGUAAAAUCUCGCACAUGCCCUCUCCAAACUCCCUCCAAAAUUUUCCUGUUUUCACAUCUCACAAGUUCACCAAGAAACUGACUUUUUGUUAUAGGCUGCAAUAAUAGUUGUAAUGAUCUAUUAAAGGAAGAAAACAAAGUUAUAGCAGCCACUUUUAAACAUUUUCUCCCCUUGGCUAAAAUUGAUUUACUUGUACUGUAUUAUUACAUUAGUGCAAUCUAGCUAGGAUCUGCUUUAUUUCCUAGUCAUCAAAAAAGCCCAUAAAGAAAUCCAGAGACCUGAAACUGAGACCUGAAACUGAAGUUAUCAGUCAAGUGACUAAUUGCUCGAUAUACCUGAUUCAGGGUGUUACGUGCACUUUUAAACCUAAACUUAAAUCUGGGUAAAAAGGAGUACCAUCAAACACUUAGUGUUCUAAACACUAAACAUUUGUUUCAUAGAAUUUACUUCAAGAAGGUGGGUAACCUGGAGUCAGGGGAGGGUUCUCUGAGCUGCUGCUGAGUAACAUUAAACCCACGGGAAGAUAAAUCGCAUU